rnacentral:lncRNA from 1 species
CCGCCACCGGCCCGGCCACCCCGGGCUGGGAGGGGGUUGGGUGCCUGUCGCGACUCGCCCUUUGUGCGGCGCGGCGCAGGACACGGCGGCAGCCGGGGGUCUUUGUCCUCGGCCGGCCGGGGGGACCGGGGGAUCCCAGCCGGGGCGCCCCCUCCCCGGGCGCUCCCGGGCUCACCCACUGCAGCUACCGCGGGCCCUCCGGCCCGGCCGCCGCCGCUGCAGCCUCCGGCUCGGGCCGCUCGGCCUCCGCUCCUGUAGGCGGCGGGGCGGCGGCGGCUCGCGGAGCCCGGGACCCGGGAGGCUAGCGCGCACCCAGCCGGGGGCCGCCGGCGCCCGCUCGCGGUCCGGCCAGGGGCUCCACGGGCCCGGGCGCCUCUUCAUUUUCUUUUUGGUGUGGCGGCGGCCGCCAGGCCGGAGCUGGGCUGGGGGAGGGGCGCGGCGGUGUUGGGUUUCAGGCGGUGAGUCAGGCCCCCCCGCCGCCCGGGCUGGCACCCCCGCCCGCCGGCCCCCACCUCCGUCCUGCGGGGGCCACUGCGCGCCCUGGAAAACCCCAGGAGGGGCGCUUCGGCCCGAAGAAAGGCGGAGUCGGGACGAAGGGAGGCUACGAGGCUGCACCCGGGGCCCUCCAACACCGUCCAGGACUCCGGCGGGCACAGCCGCUUGGGAGGGUAGCAGAGUUGGGGGUGUGGAAGAAAUGGGGCGCUCAAGGCACGGAGACGAAGCUGGAUCCGCGUAGAGGCCCACCCUGCCGCGAAGCAGCCAUCAGCAGUGGACUAAUCAGGGACCUGGGAUGGAUCAGGGGCCCGGGCCUCUUGAUCUUGGCCCCCAAGGAGCCUUGGGAGUUUUCCUUUAACUGGAAGGGCCACAUCCACGCGAUGGCGACAGCAACCGUACCCCACCAGGUGAGGGUCAGUCAGGAACCCUCCAACCAUGGGAGCUGUCCCGGUUCUCCAAAGAGGAGGCAAGGGAAAAAUCAGGAAGAAGGCAAGGGGGGAAAAAGGCGUGGGUUUGUUGUUGUUGUUGUUGUUGUUUUAAUAAAUGGUGCAAGAGCCGUGCGUUCUGCAAAUCCCGGGCAAUUCUUUACUUUUCCACCAGUGAACGCCCUUGAGCUUCCUCUUCAGCUCCCAGGUUCAUCCCUUCCUCCGCAUUCCUGCUGUCUUCACUCCUGUCUACCCCUUAUCACCUUACACUGGACUCCCCUGGGCUCUGGCAACAGCCUGCCCUCCCCGGAACCUCCUCCCCGGAAACUCCUCCCUGCAGCCCUAGUAAUGGCCCAAAACACCCCAGUCAUAUCUCCACACACGUGCCUCUGCUGCAUUCUAGCAAUCUGUCCAAACUUUAUUUCCACUGAUGCUUGACGUUAAACCCCUCUGCCCCUUCCUGUCCUCCCUAAGAGCUACCACAUAAUACAUAGGCAAAGUUAAUGUUUAUUCAAAUCUAUUCUGUCCACCACACUUGCAGGGCUUCUCUGCCCCCAUCCUAAACUGUUUCUGCCUUUUUUCCCAGUGCCUGGGAUGAAAUGUUUUACCACUGAUUUAUACUCUCACCCACCCCUGUGUUCUGGUUUUAUACAAAUAACUGUGCAUGUAAAUUCAAGAAUCAAGUAAGUGAUAUGCAGAGUGAGUCCUGGUUCCCAGUGAAUUGACUGCAUGACCUUGGGCAAAUGACUUAACCUCUCAAAGCCUCAGUUUCCUCUUCUUAAAACAGAAAUUACCUGAUAGGUUUUUCAGGUAAACACAUCGCUUCUGCAGUAGUAAUUAAAAUUGUUCACCGAGUAUCUUCUGUUCUUUUCCUUCCCCUGAGAUAUGGUAGAAAUCUACCAUCCCAACCCACUUCAGAUUAGAUGUGGCCAUAUGACUUGCGGAGGUCAGUAGAAUGAAGGCACAAGUAAUUGUGCUUUUUCCACAUGGAGACUUCAGAGUUAGGUUGUA